UCGGGAAUUUUGCACAAUGGCCGAAAGGCUGAUGCAGCAACGCCGCGUGAGCGAAGAAGGCCUUCGGGUUGUAAAGCUCUGUUGCCUGCGAAGAAGGGCCCUGUCAGGAAAUGGGCGGGGUUUGACGGUAGCAGGCGAGGAAGCCCCGGCAAACUACGUGCCAGCAGCCGCGGUAAUACGUAGGGGGCGAGCGUUGUCCGGAAUUACUGGGCGUAAAGGGCGUGUAGGCGGCCUGUUAAGUCAGGGGUGAAAGACCGGGGCUCAACCCCGGUGGUGCCUCUGAAACUGGCGGGCUUGAGUGCUCUAGAGGGCAGUGGAAUUCCCGGUGUAGCAGUGAAAUGCGUAGAGAUCGGGAGGAACACCAGUGGCGAAGGCGGCUGCCUGGGGAGUCACUGACGCUGAGGCGCGAAAGCUAGGGGAGCGAACAGG
rnacentral:rRNA from 1 species